UACGUAGGUGGCAAGCGUUGUCCGGAAUUAUUGGGCGUAAAGCGCGCGCAGGCGGUCCUUUAAGUCUGAUGUGAAAGCCCACGGCUCAACCGUGGAGGGUCAUUGGAAACUGGAGGACUUGAGUACAGAAGAGGAAAGCGGAAUUCCACGUGUAGCGGUGAAAUGCGUAGAGAUGUGGAGGAACACCAGUGGCGAAGGCGACUUUCUGGUCUGCAACUGACACUGAGGCGCGAAAGCGUGGGGAGCGAACAGG
rnacentral:rRNA from 1 species